rnacentral:hammerhead_ribozyme from 1 species
AUCUAGUUGACGAGUCCUAAAUGGGACGAAACGCGCGUUCUGGAU